rnacentral:hammerhead_ribozyme from 1 species
AUCCAGAUGACGGGUCCCAAACGGGACGAAAUUCGCAUCCUGGAU